UACGAGUGCCUCAAGCGUUAUCCGGAAUCAUUGGGCGUAAAGGAUGUGUAGGUGGUCAUAUUAGUCUUCUGUUAAAUUUCCCGGCUUAACCGGGAACAUGCAGAGGAAACGGUAUGACUUGAGGAUGCAAGGGGUUUCUGGAACUCUAGGUGUAGCGGUGAAAUGCGUUGAUAUCUAGGGGAACACCAAAAGCGAAGGCAAGAAACUGGGGCAUUCCUGACACUGAGACAUGAAAGCGUGGGUAGCGAAUGGG
rnacentral:rRNA from 1 species